rnacentral:rRNA from 1 species
CAGUAGCCGCGGUAAUACGGAGGGUGCAAGCGUUAAUCGGAAUUACUGGGCGUAAAGCGCACGCAGGCGGUCUGACAAGUCAGAUGUGAAAUCCCCGGGCUUAACCUGGGAACUGCAUUUGAAACUGUCAGGCUGGAGUCUUGUAGAGGGGGGUGGAAUUCCAGGUGUAGCGGUGAAAUGCGUAGAGAUCUGGAGGAAUACCGGUGGCGAAGGCGGCCCCCUGGACAAAGACUGACGCUCAGGUGCGAAAGCGUGGGGAGCAAACAGGAUUAGAUACCCGCGUAGUCCCUGUCUCUUAUAA